rnacentral:misc_RNA from 1 species
UCCUCUAAAGAAGAAAAGCAGGAAAUUAUGGAUAGCUACAAGGCAAAACUGAGGUCUAUAGAUUGCAAGCAUUUUGACUUUGGCAAUGGGAACUGCCCAUUUGGGACAAGUUGUUUUUACAAGCAUGCAUACCGAGAUGGCUGUUUGGAGGAAGUCGCUCUGCGUCAUCUUGGGGCUGAAGAUGGAAAUACUGUGAUCGCAAAAAAUAUAAGGCUAUCAGAUUUCCUUGGUAGCCUACAAAUAAGUUGAAUCAGGCUGUUCAAUCAUUCCCAUGUUUGCUUGCUAGAGUUGACUUAAUUAUGGGAAGCUGGAAGGUGUGUAAUAAACUGCAUAUUAUGUUAAGAUGAAAUAAUAGUGUGAAGAAAACGUCAACCGCGAUGCAAAAAAUUACAUUUAGCGAUAAGUUAUGAACUUGCCGAUGAAUAUCAAUUUGAAGAAUGGAUGAUGUUUGCCAAUAAGCUUGCUUCCCUCACAGCAGAAAUGGCA